AGUACUGGCAUAAGAGAAAGCAGCCAUAAUGAAGUUGUUGUUCCACUGCAUGAUAAGAGUUAAUACUGAUCUUGCUCAGAAGUUGCAAGAAGAGGGAAGUGUGACCAGAGAGUUCUGUUUCUUCACACUAACCACGGACAAGAGCCUGCAAGUGGGGCAGACCUCCAGCUGUGGUGUGACUGUCACCUUUUCCCUGCAGCCAAGUAGCCUAAAUAACCAAGCUGUAUUCAUACUUUACUGUAGAUAUCUGUUUGAAAACUUGAUGUGUGCAUACACAGUGCUCCCUCACCUCUAAGAGGCAUGUUAUUGAGAUAAACUACUAAAUAUACAUAUAUUUUAUGGGUUGGAAACAAUCACAGAUACAAGGUAAGGUGAAGGUGGAGUGUGCAGUGGAAGAAACAGAAGAGUUUUGCAUAGCUUAGUUUUAGCUUGAGGAAUCUACUUUCCUACUCUCCUCUGUUGAUGAUAGUGAUGGCAGACGCUUCUUUCAGAACAAGUAUUCUGCAUUUUAACUACAUUGAAGAGGAUCCUAUCUCUCUAUUCAUUGAAUAUAUAGGAAAAAAAAAACAAGCCCAUUAAUCUCCUUAGAUUAUAGCAGGACAUUGCAAAUAAUAUUGAGCUGCACCUUUGAUUUUGGGAAACUUACUGUUCUGUGAUACGAAACCAUACAAAACAGACUGCUUACCUCUUUAGGGAGCUUUAGAAGUUUCUGAAGCUGAUUGUUAGGUUAUAAUAUAAUUUGUACAGGAAAAGUGAAGGAAAUAAUAACAUACUUUUUUUGUUCUCUAGUGGCUGGAAAAUGCUGUCUUUGUGUUAUAUAGACAUGUUUUUUUUUGAGUAAUGACUAAGUGCCUGUAACCUAAGUAUUCUUAUAUUUGUCUACAAAUUAAAAUCAAUAUUAUGUGAAAUCAUUUUCCUUGUAUGCUUGCACUAGGAUUAUGCUUGUAUUUGUGCCCGUGAAUCAAAAUUAGCAUUAAAUCAUUUUACCUGUAUGUUUGGGUUAAGGUUGCUCUGACUCAUCUGUCUCCUGAUGCAGAUCUGCACUGCAUGCGCUACUCUUUUUUGUGGGAUUCUCAUGAGGGUUCUAACAGUUGGUAUAUAGGCAACAGAAAACCUUAAUUAAGCCAAUGUUUUUAUUAGAUUCUAAUGUUAUGUACUUGCUUUGUAAAAUACAAUCAUUACAAGGAUAGUAAUUAAGUGAAGUCACUUCAAUUGUCAUGUAAUUUUGAAGAACUGUUAAUCUUUUUUUCCCCAUAAAGGCUUUGUAUACCACAGGACAGGGAGGAAUUGGCCUUGACUUCAUAUUUUUUUUUAUGGGUUAGAAAAAAAAAAAUCUAUAAUUUAGCCUUGUCUUCAUCAGUGUGUUGUCUUAUCUAAGUUGACAUUCUAAUUCCAGCAUAAAUAACCACAGCUGUCACCUGAGCUGGUAACUGUUUAUUUCCUAUUUUAGCACCCAUGGGAAACAAUGGGAUCCCAUCUUUACUACAAUAGUCGAUGGCGUAGCAUGGAGCAACAGUACUCAAAUCAGUUUCCAGGGUUAAUUGUAACUGGUAAUUAUGAAACCUGAGGGAGGCUGUGAGGAGGGACUGGAAUUGUUAAUUUAACCUAGAGGAUUCUCUUCUAGAGAGCAGUUUGACAUCACGUGGCAUGUCAUACUGCCUACCAGGCAGCUAUGAAAUAAUGCAACCUCUCAUAGACUUAAAUAAAAUAAAUUUAAAUAAAACCCCAUAUUUACAUAAUAAUCAAUUGGCCAUGUCUUUAGAAGAAGAACUGUGCUCUAAAAUGGUUUCAGAAACAGUUUUCCUGUAUCUGCAACAGGUCUGAUAACGUUUAAACACAAAUGCAUCUUAGGAAGUCUUUGUCAGUACUAAGAGAACCAGAACUGAGGCUUUCCAGGGCCAUUUAGAUGGAAUAUUCUUCAUUUUGUCAAAAUAUGUUCUUCUAUUUUUUUUUUGUAUGAUGGGCAUGUUUUCUCUCCUCUACAAGCCUACUUUUAAACACAACCUGUAUCCUUUUUGUCCCCUUUCCAUACUGACGUUAAAAGCAAUCUGAGUCUAGGCAAAUAAAGUUACCUCUGAGCAUUAGAAAUAGCU
rnacentral:lncRNA from 7 species